UUUUCAUUCAUUUACCCUUCCUACAUCAAAAUGAUUCCAGGCGUCACCACCUUGACUUUCUUUAUGCUUUGGGCUGCAGGCGUUUCUCAGUCUGUGCUGAUCACUCAGUGGCCCCACUACAUCUCCAGUCUUCCAGAUGUGUCGGCAGAAAUGCACUGCUUCCAGAACGACACAGAUUAUGAAUAUCUGUACUGGUACCGACAGCAGAGUGGAGGAGCUUUUCAGUUCAUAGGGUAUAUACUAGUUGGGACGGCAACUUAUGAAGAGGGAUUCAAAUCUGGUUAUGAGGCAGCGAGGUCGCAGAAGCAGUGGUCUCUGACGAUAGCCAGCGUUCAGAAGGAAGACGAGGCUGUUUAUCUGUGUGCAGCCAGUCUACACAGUGCUGUGGCAGACCUCAGCUCUGUGACAAAAACAUACAGCGGAGAGGCUGUUUGUUGCUCUGACACCUGA